GGGAUUCGGAGGCGAAGGCUGCUUACACCAUCGCGAACUCGUCCAUGUUGCUUCGGCGGCGCGGGGCCCUCACGGGCGCCGCAGGCCCGGCCUCUCCGGAGGUGCGGGGCCGCCCGCCGGAGGUACGAAACCCUUAUACUGUACUGUAAUCUCUGAGUGAUAAACAAAUAAGUUAAAACUUUCAACAACGGAUCUCUUGGCUCUGGCAUCGAUGAAGAACGCAGCGAAAUGCGAUAAGUAAUGUGAAUUGCAGAAUUCAGUGAAUCAUCGAAUCUUUGAACGCACAUUGCGCCCGCCAGUACUCUGGCGGGCAUGCCUGUUCGAGCGUCAUUUCAACCCUCAAGCCCUGCUUGGUGUUGGGGCCCUACGGCUGCCGUAGGCCCUGAAAGGAAGUGGCGGGCUCGCUGCAACUCCGAGCGUAGUAAUUCAUUAUCUCGCUAGGGAGGCGCGGCGCGCUCCGGCCGUUAAAGACCCCAUCUUUAACCAAGGUUGACCUCGGAUCAGGUAGGAAUACCCGCUGAACUUAAGCAUUAU
rnacentral:rRNA from 1 species